rnacentral:rRNA from 1 species
UACGUAGGGUGCCAGCGUUGUUCGGAAUUACUGGGCGUAAAGGGCGUGUAGGCGGUCUGUUAAGUCAGAUGUGAAAUCCCACAGCUUAACUGUGGAACUGCGUUUGAUACUGGCAGACUAGAGUACGGAAGAGGGUGAUAGAAUUCCGAGUGUAGUGGUGAAAUACGUAGAUAUUCGGAGGAACACCAGUGGCGAAGGCGGUCACCUAGGCCUGUACUGACGCUAAGGCGCAAAAGCACGGGGAG